UUCGCAAUGCCCGAAAGGGUGACGGUGCGACGCCGCGUGAGCGAAGAAGGCCCUAGGGUUGUAAAGCUCUGUCGAGGGUUAUGAAAUAUAGAUGGGUUAAUACCCCAUUUAUUUGACAAAAGCCCAAAAGGAAGCCACGGCUAACUCUGUGCCAGCAGCCGCGGUAAUACAGAGGUGGCGAGCGUUGUUCGGUAUUAUUGGGCGUAAAGAGCACGUAGGUGGUCUUGUAAGUCAGGUGUGAAAGCCUUCUGUUCAAAGGAAGAACGGCAUCUGAAACUGCAGAUCUUGAGUGUAGGAGGGGAGAGUGGAACUUCUGGUGGAGCGGUGAAAUGCGUAGAUAUCAGAAGGAACGUCGGCGGCGAAAGCGACUCUCUGGCCUAUUACUGGCACUGAGGUGCGAAAGUUAGGGGAGCAAACGGGAUUAGAUACCCCGGUAGUCCUAACCGUAAACGAUGGGCACUAAGUAGAGGGGUUUU
rnacentral:rRNA from 1 species